UCUACUGGAGAAGUACCAGGAUGUGAUAGACGUCUAUAAGGCUGUCAACAUCUUCAGAGUCCAGAUGAUCAACGAGAAGUCUCUCUUCACCUCCAGCUGGUUUCCCACUGGUGACGAGGAAGAAGAGGAGGACCAACCCAACCUGUGGUCUGUGGAGUCUGGUCCUGACGUUAGGGUGAAGCUGUAGCAGUGCAGCUGUAGAAUACAGGGAGCUGAGUGUGUAAGGCUGUGUGUUGGCUUUCACACUGGGCAGGACUGUUCCUCUUGUCAGACAUAUUCCAAUAUUUUUUAUGUUGGUAACUUCCCCCAAAUAUCUACUGUUUAAACUGUAUUAAUGCAAUAACACAAUGAAUGUACACAUCUAAUAACACAUUUAAUUAUUGUCAACAAAGGAGCUACAAUAAAAUAAAUAACAUUUAGGUAAUAAAAUCAAAGAAUGAAAAUGUGUGAACUGUUAAACUGUAUUUUCUAUAUGGGUAUUGGAAUGUGAAUAUUACACAGCCAAUCACAUUGCUGUGCUCUACCACAAUCAGAAGAAUUGCUCUGGCUAGCCACUAAACAGAUGGUAUUGCUUCCAAGAAUUGACCAAUCAGAAAAAGCUAAGGUUGCCCCACUAGCAGUGGGUAAAUGUUUGAAUGCUUCAUUCAAAUACUUUUUUUCCACCAUAUUUAGCAAAUAUAUUCAUUAAAAAUCCUACAAUGUGA